UCGGGAAUUUUGGGCAAUGGGCGCAAGCCUGACCCAGCAACGCCGCGUGAAGGAUGAAGUAUUUCGGUAUGUAAACUUCGUAAGAAUAGGAAGAAUAAAUGACGGUACUAUUUGUAAGGUCCGGCUAACUACGUGCCAGCAGCCGCGGUAAUACGUAGGGACCAAGCGUUGUUCGGAUUUACUGGGCGUAAAGGGCGCGUAGGCGGCGUGGUAAGUCAGCUGUGAAAUCUCCGAGCUUAACUCGGAACGGUCAGCUGAUACUGCUGUGCUAGAGUACAGAAAGGGCAAUCGGAAUUCUUGGUGUAGCGGUGAAAUGCGUAGAUAUCAAGAGGAACACCUGAGGCGAAGGCGGGUUGCUAGGCUGAUACUGACGCUGAGGCGCGAAAGCUAGGGUAGCAAACGGG
rnacentral:rRNA from 1 species